CGCCUGUCCUCCCAGGGCCGAUGCCAGCGCCCGCCCUCCGCGUUCCCGGCAUUGACAGAAUGUCCAGGCGCGCAGGGCCCGUGGGUGGGGCCUGGGCACCCGGCCCUGCCCUCGCGCACCCUCCAGACCCGCCACUUCUUAGAUAGAGAGCGGCCGCCUCCCCGCCCUCCUUUCAGCCACUCGCUCCGCGCAGUCAGCUCUGCUGACUCUUCCGGAGGAUUCUGGAAGGUUCCAGAGGGUGUGCCGCCGAGGCCCUGCGAGAGGGCGUUCCCUGGGGAGAACAUUCCAGAGCAAGAGGUCCAUACAAGCUCUGGGCUCAGCCAGAGCAGGGCAGAGAAGGGUCACAGGAUGAAGAGGACAGAGGGCAGAGAGACGACCGGAUGGGAUGACCAGCUGCAGAGAGGAGUACCCUCUCCACUGAGAACAGCAGAAGGCAAGACAACCUGUCCACAGAGAGGAGCUACCCUCUCUGCUGAGAGCUUCAGAGACCUGCAGAGACAUCUGAAUGACCUGCCUGCAGAGAGCAGCUUCCCUCUCUGGGGCCUCCUCUCUGCUGAAAGCUGAACACUCGAGAGACGACCUGCCUACGAGAGGAGCCACCCACUCCUCUGAGCUGUUCUGACACUAAAUACAACUUUUCUUCUUCACGCUUCACUUGUCUGCGUACCUCAUUCUUCCUAGACGCAGGACAAGAGCUCUGGCAAAGGCGCUGCAGCCACAGAGGUUUCCGGCCGGAAAAAUCGGCACCCCAGAGAUCCCAUGAGAACGUCACGUACAGCACUGAGACGGAGCCCUAAUGAAAACUGUGGCUCUGGGUGAUAAUGACGUUACUGUGGGUUCAUCAACUGUAGCAAAUUCGCCCUCUGCUGGGCGUUGUUGGAAAUGCAGAGGCUCUGGGGGGUCAGGUAUGUGGGAGCUCUCUGUACCUUUCUUGUAAUUUGAUGUGAACUUAAAGCUGCUCCAAAAAGAUAAAAUCUUGAAGAAAAGCGAAAAAAAAAAAAAGGAAGAGAGGAAAAAAUGACAGGCAGAAGGUCACGCCUGGCCCCUCAGUGCGCGUCCUCAGGCCUCUGCUCCCAGCUGGGGCUGGCAGGUGGUCGGGGGGGCACCCAGCUCCUCCACUCCCCACGCCCACCACAGCUUUCAAAGUUAGGAACACAGGCAGGGUGGAGGUGAAGUCCGAACAGAAAGAGGAGACUUAAGGGAGGGCGAGCCCUGACUUUGUUUCGUUUUUCCGAGGCGACAUUCGGUGCAGCUUUCUGGGUCCCCAAGGCUGACCCUGCUGCACCAUGAACCACACGUCC
rnacentral:lncRNA from 1 species